AAACAAGUACCGUGAGGGAAAGUUGAAAAGCACUUUGAAAAGAGAGUUGAAAGAACCUGAAACCGCUAGGGGGGAAGCGAAUUGAGUCUAAUAGCGUGGUGUCGAUUUGUUCAGCGUUUGGUUAAUUCCAGCGUGUUUUCAGAUCGUUCAUCCACCCACCAUGGGCUUUGCUUGGGCGAUUUUAUUGUCUGGGUAGGGCUGAGGGCUCCCCUGUAAAAAGGGUUGAGGAUGGUGGGCCAUCGACCCGAUUCGACCCGUCUUGAAACACGGACCAAGGAGCCCAGCUUAUAUGCGAGUCAAAGGGACUAGAUCUCCAGGGCGUAGCAAACGCGAAUGUUUUAUUGCAAAACGGGAGCAGUUUGGGGCGGCAUAUGAUCUUUGAUUAUAGGUCCGACCUAGAGCAUAUAAGCUGGAACCCGAAAGAUGGUGAACUAUGCAUGAGUAGGGUGAAGCCAGAGGAAACUCUGGUGGAAGCUCGAAGCGGUGCUGACGUGCAAAUCGCUCGUCAAACUCGUGUAUAGGGGCGAAAGACUAAUCGAACCAUCUAGUAGCUGGUUUCCUCCGAAGUUUCUCUCAGGAUAGCAGGCCGACGAUGUGUUGUUGUGUGUGGUAAAGCUAAUGAUUAGCGUUGUUGGGGACUUUUUGUCUUCACUCGAUUCUCAAACUUUAAAUACGCACGGAUGUUGCUGCUUUAUUGAGCGGUAUCGUCAAAAAUGUCGGACUUGUGGGCCACUUUUGGUAAGCAGAACUGGCGAUACGGGAUGAACCGUAAGUAUGGUUAAGGCGCCAAAUUACUCGCUUAUAGAUCCCAAAAAAGGUGUUGAUUCAUAUAGACAGCAGGACGGUGGCCAUGGAAGUCGGAAUCCGCUAAGGAGUGUGUAAAAACUCACCUGCCGAAUGAAUUAGCCCUGAAAAUGGAUGGCGCUGAAGCGGGUAGCCGACACCAUACCGUUUGAACAAAGUGGUUUUUCAAAUGAGUAGGAGGACGUGGCGGUUGUAUAGAAGCGUGGGUGCGAACCUGCGUGGAACGGCCGCUAGUGCAGAUCUUGGUGGUAGUAGCAAAUAUUCAAACGAGAACCUUGAAGGGUGAAGCGGGGAAGGGUUCCACGCGAACAUUGAUUGAGCGUGGGUAAGUCGUUCCUAAGCCGAGUGGCAAUAGCUAAUUAUCGCGCGAAAGGGAAGCAGGUUGAUAUUCCUGCACACGGAUGUGGAUGCGGUGACGCACCUCUGAGGCGAUGACGCUGGCGAUGGACCUGGGCAGAGAUUUCUUUUCUGUUUAACUUGAACAUUGGUGCUGUGUGGAAUCCGCUUGUCGGGAGAAACACGCAUCUUUGGGAAGAGCGCCGGACUUUUUCCGGCGUCCAGAGCUCCGUCGACAGCCCUUGAAAAAUCGUCUGCAGGCCAAACCCUUGUGUGUUUGGUGGGAAAAACCACGCCGUAACGUACCGAUAACCGCAUCAGGUCCCCAAGGUGAACAGCCUCUGCUCGAUAUGAUAAAUGCAGGUAAGGGAAGUCGGCAAAUUAGACCCGUAACUUCGGGAAAAGGGUUGGCUCUAGUGCUGCGUAGGAGUGGUUUUUCUGUUGUGGACUUUGUCUUUGCUAGACGAGAAGCGGUGCGGGGCAACCUGUGCUGAGUCUCUGUUAGGUGGGGACUUUGGCUGCUCGGAGAGACGCCUACAGUAUGCAGCAAACUAGAACUGCAACGGACAAAGGGAAUCCGACUGUUUAAUUAAAACAAAGCAUG
rnacentral:rRNA from 1 species